rnacentral:rRNA from 1 species
UUGCCUACGGGAGGCAGCAGUGAGGAAUAUUGGUCAAUGGUCGGGAGACUGAACCAGCCAAGCCGCGUGAGGGAUGAAGGUACAGAGUAUCGUAAACCUCUUUUGUCAGGGAACAAAGGCGGGGACGUGUCCCCGGAUGAGUGUAACUGAAGAAAAAGCAUCGGCUAACUCCGUGCCAGCAGCCGCGGUAAUACGGAGGAUGCGAGCGUUAUCCGGAUUUAUUGGGUUUAAAGGGUGCGCAGGCGGUCUGUUAAGUCAGCGGUCAAAUGUCGGUGCUCAACACCGGCCUGCCGU